rnacentral:rRNA from 1 species
GGACGAACGCUGGCGGCGUGCUUAACACAUGCAAGUCGAACGAAGAUUUAAGCAAUUAGAUCUUAGUGGCGGACGGGUGAGUAACGCGUGGGCAACCUGCCUUAUACAGGGGGAUAACACAGGGAAACUUGUGCUAAUACCGCAUAACACAACGAGAUGGCAUCAUCGUGUUGUCAAAGGAGCAAUCCGGUAUAAGAUGGGCCCGCGUCCGAUUAGCUAGUUGGUGAGGUAAUGGCCCACCAAGGCGACGAUCGGUAGCCGAACUGAGAGGUUGAUCGGCCACAUUGGGACUGAGACACGGCCCAGACUCCUACGGGAGGCAGCAGUGGGGAAUAUUGCACAAUGGAGGAAACUCUGAAUGCAGCAACGCCGCGUGAAGGAUGAAGGUUUUCGGAUUGUAAACUUCUUUGAUUGGGGAAGAAUAAAGACUGUACCCAAGGAACAAGCCACGGCUAACUACGUGCCAGCCGCUGC